rnacentral:rRNA from 1 species
UACAGAGGGGUGCAAGCGUUGUUCGGAAUUAUUGGGCGUAAAGGGCGCGUAGGCGGUGCCACAAGUCACCUGUGAAAUCUCCGGGCUUAACUCGGAGCCUGCAGGCGAAACUGUGGUGCUGGAGUGUGGGAGAGGUGCGUGGAAUUCCCGGUGUAGCGGUGAAAUGCAUAGAUAUCGGGAGGAACACCUGUGGCGAAAGCGGCGCACUGGACCAUAACUGACGCUGAUGGCGCGAAAGCUAGGGGAAGCCAAA